rnacentral:rRNA from 1 species
AAUCAACGCUGGCGGCGUGCCUCAGACAUGCAAGUCGAACGAUUAAAGCUCUCUUCGGAGAGUGUAUAGAGUGGCGCACGGGUGAGUAACACGUAAGUAAUCUACCUUCGAGUGGGGAAUAACGUCCGGAAACGGACGCUAAUACCGCAUAAUGCAGCGGCAUCGCAAGAUGACAGUUGUUAAAGAUUUAUCGCUUGAAGAGGAGCUUGCGGCGGAUUAGCUAGUUGGUAAGGUAAUGGCUUACCAAGGCUACGAUCUGUAACCGGUCUAAGAGGACGGUCGGUCACACUGACACUGAACAACGGGUCAGACUCCUACGGGAGGCAGCAGUCGGGAAUUUGGGCAAUGGGCGAAAGCCUGACCCAGCAACGCCGCGUGAAGGAUGAAGUAUUUCGGUAUGUAAACUUCGAAAGAAUGGGAAGAAUCAAUGACGGUACCAUUUAUAAGGUCCGGCUAACUACGUGCCAGCAGCCG